GAUGAACGCUGGCGGCGUGCUUAACACAUGCAAGUCGAACGAACCUUCGGGUUAGUGGCGGACGGGUGAGUAACGCGUGAGAAUCUGCCCUCAGGAGGGGGAUAACGGUUGGAAACGACCGCUAAUACCCCAUAUGCCUACUGGUGAAAUGAAUUUCGCCUGAGGAUGAGCUCGCGUCUGAUUAGCUAGUUGGUGAGGUAAUGGCUCACCAAGGCUUCGAUCAGUAGCUGGUCUGAGAGGAUGAUCAGCCACACUGGGACUGAGACACGGCCCAGACUCCUACGGGAGGCAGCAGUGGGGAAUUUUCCGCAAUGGGCGAAAGCCUGACGGAGCAACGCCGCGUGAGGGACGAAGGCCUCUGGGCUGUAAACCUCUUUUCUCAAGGAAGAAGAUAUGACGGUACUUGAGGAAUAAGCCACGGCUAAUUCCGUGCCAGCAGCCGCGGUAAUACGGGAGUGGCAAGCGUUAUCCGGAAUUAUUGGGCGUAAAGCGUCCGCAGGCGGCUUUUCAAGUCUGCUGUUAAAGCGUGGAGCUUAACUCCAUCAUGGCAGUGGAAACUGAAAGGCUUGAGUAUGGUAGGGGCAGAGGGAAUUCCCGGUGUAGCGGUGAAAUGCGUAGAUAUCGGGAAGAACACCAGUGGCGAAGGCGCUCUGCUGGGCCAUUACUGACGCUCAUGGACGAAAGCCAGGGGAGCGAAAGGGAUUAGAUACCCCUGUAGUCCUGGCCGUAAACGAUGAACACUAGGUGUCGGGGGAAUCGACCCCUUCGGUGUCGUAGCUAACGCGUUAAGUGUUCCGCCUGGGGAGUACGCACGCAAGUGUGAAACUCAAAGGAAUUGACGGGGGCCCGCACAAGCGGUGGAGUAUGUGGUUUAAUUCGAUGCAACGCGAAGAACCUUACCAGGGUUUGACAUCCUGCGAACCUCUUAGAAAUUUGAGGGUGCCUUCGGGAAUGCAGUGACAGGUGGUGCAUGGCUGUCGUCAGCUCGUGUCGUGAGAUGUUGGGUUAAGUCCCGCAACGAGCGCAACCCACGUUUUUAGUUGCCAGCAUUUAGUUGGUCACUCUAGAAAGACCGCCGGUGAUAAACCGGAGGAAGGUGUGGAUGACGUCAAGUCAUCAUGCCCCUUACACCCUGGGCUACACACGUACUACAAUGCUACGGACAAAGGGCAGCAAACUCGCGAGAGCUAGCAAAUCCCAUAAACCGUGGCUCAGUUCAGAUCGUAGGCUGCAACUCGCCUACGUGAAGUAGGAAUCGCUAGUAAUCGCAGGUCAGCAUACUGCGGUGAAUACGUUCCCGGGCCUUGUACACACCGCCCGUCACACCAUGGAAGUUGGCCAUGCCCGAAGUCGUUACUCCAACCCUUGUGGAGGAGGACGCCGAAGGUGGGGCUAAUGACUGGGGUG
rnacentral:rRNA from 1 species